CAGCAGCCGCGGGAAUACGGAGGGCGCGAGCGUUACCCGGAUUUACUGGGCGUAAAGGGCGUGUAGGCGGCCUGGGGCGUCCCAUGUGAAAGGCCACGGCUCAACCGUGGAGGAGCGUGGGAUACGCUCAGGCUAGAGGGUGGGAGAGGGUGGUGGAAUUCUCGGAGUAGCGGUGAAAUGCGCAGAUACCGGGAGGAACGCCGAUGGCGAAGGCAGCCACCUGGUCCACUUCUGACGCUGAGGCGCGAAAGCGUGGGGAGCAAACCGGAUUAGAUACCCCCGUAGUCCCUGUCUCUUAUAA
rnacentral:rRNA from 1 species